rnacentral:rRNA from 1 species
UACGUAGGGUGCGAGCGUUGUCCGGAAUUAUUGGGCGUAAAGAGCUUGUAGGCGGUCUGUCGCGUCUGCUGUGAAAAUCCGGGGCUCAACCCCGGACUUGCAGUGGGUACGGGCAGACUAGAGUGUGGUAGGGGAGACUGGAAUCCCUGGUGUAGCGGUGAAAUGCGUAGAUAUCAGGAGGAACACCGGUGGCGAAGGCGGUGGUCUGGGCCGGCACUGACGCUGAGGAGCGAAAGCGUGGGGAGCGAACAGGAUUAG